UUUAUCCCUAUUGGAAGAAGAUCAAUAAAGUAAUACCCAAGUUCCAUCUUCAAACUUUCUGUUGCCAAUCAGUUCGCACUUUUGUUUUCUUUCCUGUCCACCAACAUCCCAUCUUAAAAAUAGAUUUUUACGGGAUUUGGAGAUUUUGACCUAGCUCAGUUGUGAGAUUCCAUCUCAACCAGGGUUCGAAGGGAGCUCGAAAAAAAGUUUUGGAUUUUUGCAGGGUUGAUGAGUUGUGCCCACAUGCAAGACGCUCCCGGACAAUCUCUCAAAACAUGGAUUAUGAUUUCUAGGGUUCUUUGACGAAGGUGGCAAUCUAGACAAGCUCCAAAGAUUCUGUUCUUCCUUAUAGAAGUCAUCAAUUUCUUGUGUGAGUUUGGGCAGGACUGAUUUUUUUCUCUGUCUGCUGAUGCUGGUUCUCCUGAGCGUCAUCCUCACUCUGUACUAUCUCUGUAUUGACCAACACUGCAAAACGAGAGUGAGGGCGCAUGAGACAGAGAGCAAGAAAGAGCAGAAGAUAAUCUUUACCAAAGCGGGGAGUGGAUGCAGAGUCUUGAGUGGAAGUUUCUCUCAAUAACAAUCAUGGUAGCCAC